rnacentral:rRNA from 1 species
GUGGGGAAUAUUGGACAAUGGGGGGAACCCUGAUCCAGCCAUGCCGCGUGUGUGAAGAAGGCCUUUUGGUUGUAAAGCACUUUAAGCGAGGAGGAGGCUACCGAGAUUAAUACUCUUGGAUAGUGGACGUUACUCGCAGAAUAAGCACCGGCUAACUCUGUGCCAGCAGCCGCGGUAAUACAGAGGGUGCAAGCGUUAAUCGGAUUUACUGGGCGUAAAGCGCGCGUAGGUGGCCAAUUAAGUCAAAUGGGAAAUCCCCGAGCUUAACUUGGGAAUUGCAGUCGAUACUGGUUGGCUAGAGUAUGGGAGAGGAUGGUAGAAUUCCAGGUGUAGCGGUGAAAUGCGUAGAGAUCUGGAGGAAUACCGAUGGCGAAGGCAGCCAUCUGGCCUAAUACUGACACUGAGGUGCGAAAGCAUGGGGAGCAAACAGGAUUAGAUACCCUAGUAGUCC